rnacentral:rRNA from 1 species
UACGUAGGGUGCAGGCGUUAAUCGGAAUUACUGGGCGUAAAGCGUGCGCAGGCGGCUUCCUAAGUCAGAUGUGAAAUCCCCGGGCUUAACCCGGGAACUGCGUUUGAAACUGGGAGGCUAGAGUGCGGCAGAGGGGGGUGGAAUUCCACGUGUAGCAGUGAAAUGCGUAGAUAUGUGGAGGAACACCGAUGGCGAAGGCAGCCCCCUGGGCCAGCACUGACGCUCAUGCACGAAAGCGUGGGGAGCAAACAGG